rfam:Nicotiana sylvestris Nsyl_contig36235, whole genome shotgun sequence.
AUAACUUUCUCGACCUUUUGGCUAAGAUCAAGUAUAGUAUCUAUUCUUAUCUUUUCUUUUCUUAAAUAGGUCUCUUAAGACUCUUAGCUUGAACAUUGUGAUAAACAUAACUGUUAGUAUCCUCUUGAGCAUUCAACUCUCGCUAGAUGCAUGGGAACCCCAC